rnacentral:rRNA from 1 species
UGCCAGUGAUAAACUGGAGGAAGGUGGGGAUGACGUCAAGUCAUCAUGGCCCUUACGACCAGGGCUACACACGUGCUACAAUGGCGCAUACAAAGAGAAGCGACCUCGCGAGAGCAAGCGGACCUCAUAAAGUGCGUCGUAGUCCGGAUUGGAGUCUGCAACUCGACUCCAUGAAGUCGGAAUCGCUAGUAAUCGUGGAUCAGAAUGCCACGGUGAAUACGUUCCCGGGCCUUGUACACACCGCCCGUCACACCAUGGGAGUGGGUUGCAAAAGAAGUAGGUAGCUUAACCUUCGGGAGGGCGCUUACCACUUUGUGAUUCAUGACUGGGGUGAAGUCGUAACAAGGUAACCGUAGGGGAACCUGCGGU